rnacentral:rRNA from 1 species
CCUACGGUGGGCUGCAGUGAGGAAUAUUGGUCAAUGGGCGUAAGCCUGAACCAGCCAAGUCGCGUGAGGGAUGAAGGUUCUAUGGAUCGUAAACCUCUUUUAUAAGGGAAUAAAGUGCGGGACGUGUCCCGUUUUGUAUGUACCUUAUGAAUAAGGAUCGGCUAACUCCGUGCCAGCAGCCGCGGUAAUACGGAGGAGGCUAGCGUUAGACGGAUUCAUUGGGUUUAAAGGGUGCGCAGGCGGGCCUUUAAGCCGGCGGUGAAAUCGCGGGGCUCAACCCCGCCGGGCCGUCGGGACUGGGGGCCUUGAGUGCGGCGGAGGCAUGCGGAAUGCGCGGUGUAGCGGUGAAAUGCAUAGAUAUCGCGCAGAACCCCGAUUGCGAAGGCAGCGUGCCGUGCCUCCACUGACGCUGAGGCACGAAAGCGCGGAGAUCGAACAGGAUUAGAUACCCUAGUAGUC